GCGGGGCGGGGCGGGCCGCAAGGCAUUAGAAGGCGGCCGCGGCAGAGUACAGCUCCUGCUGGGAGGCAGCGGCGCGUCGCCGGACCGGACCGGACCGGACCAGACCGGACCGGCAGGGCAGCGAGCUCCGCCUCGAAAUUAAAAUGUCAUCAUGGGUCAAGGUCACCAGGUGUCAAGUUCAAAAACCUGUUGYCAACAAAAGCUGCUUCCAGAAGAGCCUGUUCUGAAAUAGCACUGCUGAUCCCUUCUGUGUUAGUAUAAAUCCUUACAGAAGAGUCAUUUUUCCCAAGGUGAUUAUUUAGAGACUUUGAAGAUCUGAAUAGGUAAGAAACACUUUCUGUAGUAUAAAUACAAAUUUUGGUGAAUGUCCUAGGUGUUUAAAUUGGAAAAUAUUUUAAUGCUAUAGUAGAAACCUACAUUAACUUGUUUUAGUGUUCAUCUGGGCAUGUGAGAUUUGAUACUAAAAAUGCAUAAGAAAAAUAUCUUGUCUCUUGAGGCCCUUCUUUUCAGAGACUGAAUUCCAAGGCAUUGGUUCUGUGUUAAAGGUAACCUGGUU
rnacentral:lncRNA from 1 species